AGCAAGUGGAGCAUGAUCUGGGUACACAACCUUAAGAACAUGAUGUUCCCCACUUAGGUGAAGAGGACCGUGGUGUUCAGCAUGUUGAAGUUGAGGCUACACAAAAUGAUGUGGCCCCAUCAGAGGAGCUCCCUUCGCUUCAGUGUCCUCAUCCAUAGUAUAGGACUAGGCAUAUAUUGAGAUCACGAGCAGUUGACGAAACAUCUACAGAGGGGGGAAAUGAUGAAGACACCGAUGUUCCACUUUGUCUUUUCAUAGCUUCAAAGAAAAAACAAAGAAAGAAAUGAUUGUAAUCUAACUUAUUUGAUAAUGACUGAUUUUUAUGUGUUAGUGAAUGUAAUUAUGUGCUAAUUAAUGGUUA